GACGAACGCUGGCGGCGUGCUUAACACAUGCAGGUCGAACGGAAAGGCCCUGCUUUUGUGGGGUGCUCGAGUGGCGAACGGGUGAGUAACACGUGAGUAACCUGCCCUUGACUUUGGGAUAACUUCAGGAAACUGGGGCUAAUACCGGAUAGGAGCUCCUGCUGCAUGGUGGGGGUUGGAAAGUUUCGGCGGUUGGGGAUGGACUCGCGGCUUAUCAGCUUGUUGGUGGGGUAGUGGCUUACCAAGGCUUUGACGGGUAGCCGGCCUGAGAGGGUGACCGGCCACAUUGGGACUGAGAGACGGACCAGACUCCUACGGGAGGCAGCAGUGGGGAAUAUUGCACAAUGGGCGGAAGCCUGAUGCAGCAACGCCGCGUGCGGGAUGACGGCCUUCGGGUUGUAAACCGCUUUCGCCUGUGACGAAGCGUGAGUGACGGUAAUGGGUAAAGAAGCACCGGCUAACUACGUG
rnacentral:rRNA from 1 species